AACAAACGCUGGCGGCGUGCCUAACACAUGCAAGUCGUACGAGAAAUCCUGGGCAACUGGGAGAGUAAAGUGGCGCACGGGUGAGUAACGCGUGGGUAACCUGCCCUUGAAUUGGGGAUAACUCCGCGAAAGCGGGGUUAAUACCGAAUGAUAUUCCGAUUUCUCCGGGAAUUGGAAUCAAAGGUGGCCUCUGCAUGCAAGCUACUGUUCAUGGAUGGGCCCGCGUACCAUUAGCUAGUUGGUAGGGUAACGGCCUACCAAGGCAUCGAUGGUUAGGUGGUCUGAGAGGAUGGCCAGCCACGCUGGAACUGAGACACGGUCCAGACUCCUACGGGAGGCAGCAGUGGGGAAUCUUGCGCAAUGGGGGAAACCCUGACGCAGCAACGCCGCGUGGGUGAUGAAGGCCUUCGGGUCGUAAAGCCCUGUCAGGUGGGAAGAACCGUAUCGGUACAAACAGUGCCGAUGCUUGACGGUACCACCGGAGGAAGCACCGGCUAACUCCGUGCCAGCCGCCGCGGUAAGAC
rnacentral:rRNA from 1 species